UGGGUUGAUGUGUGGGGGUUGAUUUGAUUCAUAUAAAAACACAACAUAUACCACACCAACCUAACACCAAAACCAUAAUAUUUCACAACAUAAGGAUUCCCAAGAAAUGGAACCAACAACAACAAAUAUGAGUAAUACCAAUAACAUGCACUCUCAAACUCAAAGUCAUGAGUGUGUUGAGAUAGCCAUGGAAGUGCACAAGGUUGUUCCACCUCCCCAUAGGAGCACCUUGAAGAAGCUCAAGUCCAGGCUCAAGGAGACCUUCUUCCCCGACGAUCCGCUCCGGCAAUUCAAAGGGCAGCCAUUGAAGCAGAAAUUCAUUCUUGGAGCUCAAUACAUCUUCCCUAUACUUGAGUGGGGUCCCAAUUACAGUUUCAAACUCCUUAAAUCUGACAUUGUUUCUGGCCUUACCAUUGCUAGCUUAGCCAUUCCCCAGGGAAUCAGCUAUGCUAAGCUGGCUAAUCUGCCUCCCAUUGUUGGCCUAUAUUCAAGCUUUGUUCCUCCUCUUGUGUAUGCUGUUCUUGGAAGCUCUAGGGACCUUGCAGUGGGACCAGUUUCAAUAGCAUCUCUAGUACUGGGAUCAAUGCUUAGACAAGAGGUGUCACCAGCCAAUGACACAGUCUUGUUUCUUCAACUGGCCUUCUCUUCAACCUUCUUUGCUGGUCUCUUCCAAGCUUCUUUAGGAAUACUGAGACUUGGAAUUAUAAUUGAUUUUCUAUCAAAGGCAACACUGAUUGGGUUCAUGGCUGGAGCAGCAAUCAUAGUAUCUCUUCAACAGCUAAAAGCACUGCUUGGCAUCACUCAUUUCACCUCACAAAUGGGUUUGGUCCCUGUCUUGUCUUCUGUCUUCCACCAUACAAAUGAGUGGUCGUGGCAAGCUAUACUGAUGGGAGUUUGUUUCCUUGUGUUGCUUCUUUUUACAAGACACAUUGGCAUAAAAAAACCAAAGCUAUUCUGGGUGUCAGCUGGAGCACCACUUGUGUCUGUGAUCCUCUCUACUUUGUUGGUUUUUGCAUUCAAAGCUCAACAUCAUGGAAUCAGUGUGAUUGGAAAACUACAAGAAGGAUUAAACCCUCCAUCAUGGAACAUGUUGCAUUUUCAUGGAAGCCACCUUGGACUAGUAAUGAAAACUGGACUUAUUACUGGCAUCCUUUCCCUCACUGAAGGGAUUGCUGUGGGAAGGACAUUUGCUGCUUUAAAGAACUACCAAGUGGAUGGAAACAAGGAGAUGAUUGCAAUUGGGCUGAUGAACAUGGUUGGCUCUUCUACUUCCUGCUAUGUCACUACAGGUGCAUUUUCUAGGUCAGCAGUGAAUCACAAUGCCGGUGCAAAAACUGCAGUGUCUAACAUAGUAAUGGCAGUGACGGUGAUGGUUACUCUGCUCUUUCUCAUGCCCUUGUUCCAGUAUACCCCGAAUGUUAUACUGGGCGCGAUCAUAGUCACUGCAGUUGUCGGCCUCAUUGACAUCCCUGCCGCAUAUCAUGUUUGGAAAAUUGACAAAUUCGAUUUCCUCGUGUUGUUAUGUGCUUUUUUGGGUGUUAUUUUCAUCUCUGUGCAGGGAGGUCUAGCCAUUGCAGUAAGCAUAUCAAUUUUCAAGAUCCUGAUGCAAAUAACAAGGCCUAAAACAGUGAUGUUGGGGAACAUACCCGGGACUGACAUUUAUCGCAAUAUUCGACAAUACAAAGAGGCUGCCAGAAUCCCAGGCUUCCUCAUUUUAAGCAUUGAAGCUUCAAUCAACUUUGCCAACAGCAGCUACCUCAAUGAAAGGAUUUUGAGAUGGAUAGAAGAUUAUGAAGCAGAAGAAGAAGAACAGACCAAAAAGCAGUCAGGCCUCAGAUUUGUUAUCCUUGACUUGUCAGCUGUGAGUGCCAUGGAUACAAGUGGAGUGUCAUUGCUUAAAGAUUUGAGGAAGGCAGUGGAAAACAAGGGUCUUGAGCUCGUGUUGGUGAAUCCACUCGGUGAGGUUAUGGAAAAAUUGCAGCGUGGAGACGAAGCCCAUGAUGUUUUCAGCAGACCAGACUGCCUUUUCCUGACAGUUGGAGAGGCUGUGGCUUCGCUCCUUUCAACCGUCAAGGCCCAAUCAUCAAGUCAUGUGCUACUCCACCAGCCAAAAAAACCAGAUCGAAUUACAAGGCAAAAAUUGUUGCCAAUCCUUCCAGUUCUUUCUUCUCUCAGAAAUCUCUUGGAAUUAUGGUGAUGAAAACAACCAAGGCUCCAGCUAAAGAAACACCAACUCCAACCAAAUCGAAGAGGUUCAAAAUGGUACCACGCAAAAACCACACCCUUCUAGUGGAUUCUUCUAGCUAUACCACAGCUCCUCAGGCAGAAGAUAAUCCUCAUGAGAUAAUCUUUCCACCUUCUGUAAAUAAGGCCCAAGAAAUUGUAGCCACUCAAGGCGAAAUUACUCAAGCCUUCAAAGCACCAGAACCUGCUCCAACCAUCCCAAAGCCAGCUGUGGACUUGGAUGCUUAUUUUGAGGUUUUGUCUCAAAAAACUAUUCCAAUUGCUUCUGGGGCCUCCGGCAGUGGAACUACUUCCUCAAGCCGAGUCAUGCCUUCAUCAAAUGAAGUUGAGAAGGCCAAGAUGAUCUGAAGUCUCUGCUAGCCUUGUCUUUCCCAGACGUUCUGGAUCUAGGAUGACUCCUAAUUCUAACUUCUGCCCUGAAGGUUCUAGCCACCUCCGCACCCUUUGACUCCAUCAUUCAAUCAGCUCUCUAAGAAUUUUAGCUGCGAAUUCUUGAACAAAGCCAGACUCACCUUUCCUUUAUUUUCAAAGAAGGAGAAAUUGAUAAGAAAUUUCAACGGUUAGCCUAUUUGAAAACGUCAUAAAAGAUUAUGUGGAAUCUUACAAGAAACUGAAGGAAGCUACUGACGCUAAAGCCAAUCAAAUUGUCCAUCUGAAGGACCAGACUGCCAUUCUUCAAGUUCAGCUAGAAGACGCGGAGAAAGACGAAGGAAUCCUGGCUACCUAGAUGCAGGAACUAUACACAGUUUCUUCACCAGUGAACACUAAAUUCUUAGAACUAAAUGCCCAACUUCCUGAACUUGCAUAAACUCAUGUCACCACCCUGAUUGAACUACAAGUUGUGGAUGCUCCUUGGAACAUUCUCAAGACUAAACUGACCAGUCUCUUGUAAUUCCUUUUUAUUGCACCCUGAAACUUUUACUUAGCUUAGGAAUUUAUAGCACUUUUUGUUUUGUUUGGUCUGUGAUGGCCAUUUUUGCUUAGUCGGCCUGGUUCUAGACCAGGCCGUUUUGAACAUUUCUGUACAUGCUUAACUUUGUUCAGUUUGUUCAGGCUAUUUUUUAUCUGAUGAAUGCACAGAACUUUGCGUUGUUAA